rnacentral:rRNA from 1 species
UACGUAGGGGGCAAGCGUUGUCCGGAAUCAUUGGGCGUAAAGAGCGUGUAGGCGGCCAGAAAAGUCCGCUGUGAAAACUCGAGGCUCAACUUCGAGCUGUCGGUGGAAACUUUCUGGCUAGAGUCCGGAAGAGGAGAAUGGAAUUCCUGGGGUAGCGGUGAAAUGCGCAGAUAUCAGGAAGAACACCCGUGGCGAAGGCGGUUCUCUGGGACGGUACUGACGCUGAGGCGCGAAAGCGUGGGGAGCGAACAGG